GAGUUUGAUCAUGGCUCAGAUUGAACGCUGGCGGCAUGCCUUACACAUGCAAGUCGAACGGCAGCACGGGAGCAAUCCUGGUGGCGAGUGGCGAACGGGUGAGUAAUAUAUCGGAACGUGCCCAGUCGUGGGGGAUAACGCAGCGAAAGCUGUGCUAAUACCGCAUACGAUCUCUGGAUGAAAGCGGGGGACUCGCAAGAGCCUCGCGCGAUUGGAGCGGCCGAUAUCAGAUUAGCUAGUUGGUGGGGUAAAGGCCCACCAAGGCGACGAUCUGUAGCUGGUCUGAGAGGACGACCAGCCACACUGGAACUGAGACACGGUCCAGACUCCUACGGGAGGCAGCAGAGGGGAAUUUUGGACAAUGGGCGAAAGCCUGAUCCAGCAAUGCCGCGUGCAGGAUGAAGGCCUUCGGGUUGUAAACUGCUUUUGUACGGAACGAAACGGUCUAUCCUAAUACGGUGGGCUAAUGACGGUACCGUAAGAAUGAGCACCGGCUAACUACGUGCCAGCAGCCGCGGUAAUACGUAGGGUGCGAGCGUUAAUCGGAAUUACUGGGCGUAAAGCGUGCGCAGGCGGUUAUAUAAGACAGAUGUGAAAUCCCCGGGCUCAACCUGGGACCUGCAUAUGUGACUGUAUAGCUAG
rnacentral:rRNA from 1 species